CGCGUAGGCGGCCGCCUAAGUCAGACGUGAAAUCCCUCGGCUCAACCGGGGAACUGCGUCUGAUACUGGGUGGCUUGAAUCCGGGAGAGGGAUGCGAAAUUCCAGGUGUAGCGGUGAAAUGCGUAGAUAUCUGGAGGAACACCGGUGGCGAAGGCGGCAUCCUGGACCGGCAUUGACGCUGAGGCGCGAAAGCCAGGGGAGCAAACG
rnacentral:rRNA from 1 species